rnacentral:rRNA from 1 species
UAUUUUCCUUUUUUUCCCUCAGCCGCGGUAAUACGUAGGCGGCAAGCGUUGUCCGGAAUUAUUGGGCGUAAAGGGAGCGCAGGCGGGAAACUAAGCGGAUCUUAAAAGUGCGGGGCUCAACCCCGUGAUGGGGUCCGAACUGGUUUUCUUGAGUGCAGGAGAGGAAAGCGGAAUUCCCAGUGUAGCGGUGAAAUGCGUAGAUAUUGGGAAGAACACCAGUGGCGAAGGCGGCUUUCUGGACUGUAACUGACGCUGAGGCUCGAAAGCUAGGGUAGCGAACGGG